UAAAAUGGAUGUUUUCUAUUUGUGUUCCAUCUGUCCUGCUGCAUUCAUCUGUACAGUGAGGUAUGCCUUCAAGUAAAUGUCUAUAUAAAAGCGGAUUGUACUAAUGGAACAGGGAAGAAGGAAGUAUUAUUGCCAUUUUGACAGGAAGAAACUGAAGUUGAGAGAGGUUUCAUAACCUUCUGAAGCUCCCCUUAGUAGUUUAUGGCAGAGUGAAAUGCCCAGAAGAUUUGCAAUGAAGACAGCUGCAGUCAUAGUUGUGCAUAAGCACCAUCUCUGAAAAUUCACAGCUGAAUCCUCCAACCAGUCCCUGUCCUCGAAAGAGCAUGUGGAAGAACCACAGAAAAGAUGUGGCGGGGUCUCGUGAUGUGGAGGAAGAACAAAGCACACAGUGCACCAGCUAUGCAGCAGCUCUGCUCACGAACAUUAAUACACAUCCAGGGCUGAGACUGCCUUGGCUCAGACCUGGAAUUACUAAUUUUUACUUCUAAUGCUUUAAAUUCCUUCCAUGGCUUUAGUUUUUCAAUGUCAAGAGCAGGCUCCCGUCUUCUUUCCUGUGAUGACACGUAACUCCUCAGAGACCAAGGCCACAUCUGUGAUGUGCAUUAGCUUUCUUUGCCCCAGACAUCAGCCUGGUUGCAUAUCAGAUAAUGGAUUAAUGGGCAAAAAAUGUAUCUGACUAUGAAAACAAAUCAAAUAAUGGAACAGAAUC